AGCCACCGUGCCUGGCCUAGUCCCCACUUUCUAAUACCACCAUCAUGGGGAUGGAAUUUCAAACAUAAAUUUGGGGGAUGGGACACAGAUUCAGACCAUAGCACAUCACUUUCUUCUUCCUAACAGAUCUUCAAUUUUGUUCAACUAUCCACCCAUCCAUGGAUUGACUUUAAUCAGUCCAUUCCAAUGAAUAUUUGGCCUUUCUCUGAUCCACAGGUGCAUGUAUAAUUUGCCUAAUACAAGCUAAGGGAAGAACAUAUUUCAUAGUUGGGGGAGGUUUUCCUUCUUCCACUGGAUGUGAAUAGGGGAACAUGCUGCCUGUUUGGAACUGGCAGCCACCUUACCACCAUGAGGGGAAGCAACAAAAUGCAAAGAUAUAAAAAAUAUAGAUGCUUCAAGACAUGGCUGAACCCAAACUUAGAGCCUAGUCCUUGUAGAUAAUACAUUUUCUCCCUAUUUAAGCGAGAGUGAACUGCGUUGUCUGUGACUUGCAGAAAUUUUGUGUCCUGUUACAAAAUAUCAAAAAGUUGCCUCAAUUUUCUAGUGUCCUGCUCUACUGAUGCAGUAAGCAUCUGCCUGGUCCCAACAUUGCUGGCUGCUGUAGGGAUGGUUAACUGAAAAGGGGCAAGAGCAUAUUAUACAUGUACAGUCACACACUGCAUAACAACGUUUCAGUCAAUGACAGACCACAUGUAUGACAGUGGUCUCAUAAGAUUAUAAUGGAGCUGAAAAAUGCUUAUCACCAAGUGAUGUCAUAGCCAUUGGAACAUCAUAGUGCAACACAUUACUCAUGUGUUGUGGCAAUGCUGGUGUAAACAAACCUACUGUGCUGCUAGUUGUAUAGAAGUAUAGUAGUUAUCAUUGUGUUACAAUCACCUAUAGUAUUCAGAGCAGUAAUGUGCAGUACAGGUUUGUAGCCUAGGAGCAAUGGGCUAUAGCCUAGAUAUAUAGUAGGAUAUAUCAUCUAGUUUGUGUAAGUACACUCUGUGAUAUUCAUACAAUGAUGAAAUUGCCUAAUGAUACAUUUCUCAGA
rnacentral:lncRNA from 10 species